rnacentral:rRNA from 1 species
GACGAACGCUGGCGGCGUGCUUAACACAUGCAAGUCGAACGGAAAGGCCCUGCUUUUGUGGGGUGCUCGAGUGGCGAACGGGUGAGUAACACGUGAGUAACCUGCCCUUGACUUUGGGAUAACUUCAGGAAACUGGGGCUAAUACCGGAUAGGAGCUCCUGCUGCAUGGUGGGGGUUGGAAAGUUUCGGCGGUUGGGGAUGGACUCGCGGCUUAUCAGCUUGUUGGUGGGGUAGUGGCUUACCAAGGCUUUGACGGGUAGCCGGCCUGAGAGGGUGACCGGCCACGUUAGGACGGGAAUACGGCCCAGACUCCUACGGGAGGCAACAGUGGAGAAUAUUGCACAAUGGGCGGAAGCCUGAUGCAGCAACGCCGCGUGCGGGAUGACGGCCUUCGGGUUGGAAACCGCUUUCGCCUGUGACGAAGCGUGAGUGACGGUAAUGGGUAAAGAAGCACCGGCUAACUACGUG